UACGAAGGGGGCUAGCGUUGUUCGGAUUUACUGGGCGUAAAGCGCACGUAGGCGGAUCGUUAAGUCAGGGGUGAAAUCCUGGAGCUCAACUCCAGAACUGCCUUUGAUACUGAGGAUCUUGAGUACGGGAGAGGUGAGUGGAACUGCGAGUGUAGAGGUGAAAUUCGUAGAUAUUCGCAAGAACACCAGUGGCGAAGGCGGCUCACUGGCCCGUAACUGACGCUGAGGCACGAAAGCGUGGGGAGCAAACAGG
rnacentral:rRNA from 1 species